GUCUAGUACUCAGAGUUUGAUCCUGGCUCAGGACGAACGCUGGCGGCGUGCUUAACACAUGCAAGUCGUACGGUAAGGCCCUUUCGGGGUACACGAGUGGCGAACGGGUGAGUAACACGUGAGUAACCUGCCCACAACUUUGGGAUAACGCUAGGAAACUGGUGCUAAUACUGGAUAUGUGCUCCUGCUGCAUGGUGGGGGUUGGAAAGCUCCGGCGGUUGUGGAUGGACUCGCGGCCUAUCAGCUUGUUGGUGGGGUAGUGGCCUACCAAGGCGGCGACGGGUAGCCGGCCUGAGAGGGUGACCGGCCACAUCGGGACUGAGAUACGGCCCAG
rnacentral:rRNA from 1 species